ensembl:lncRNA
CUUAGCGAAGGGUCAUGGCGAAGAAAUACAUUCAAACUCGGGGCUUUCUGAGUUAUACAGCCUGUAGCAGGCAAUACAAACCUAGACUCACAACUGGGCAAAUAUCCCUUCUACAUGAACCAUGAAUGACACAUUUUCCAUUUUGGUUACUGGUGUGCUGUUCUAACAGCUAUGGCCCCUAAUGGAGAUGGCAUGACGUCAUAAAAGGCUGCAGUAGGCUAUAACAUGGACAUCUUUGAGUCUUUAUGACGUCACAAAUACAGGUGCUUUCAAGAGCUUGGUUGUUCAAACACACGUUCCACAAUUGGUUUGUAGCCUAGAUGGUGACUGAGUUGUUAUACUGAAUAAGUGACUAUUCAUGUUUUAGUAUAUCGCCCUUUCAUAUAUCAUUAAGAUAAACUUCAAGAAAUUAUUAACUUAAUUUUCUUAUAUUCACUCUAUCAGUAUAAAGUAUGAGGAAUAUUUGACAGUGACAAGAACAGAGAUUAGAGAGCACUGUGGCAAUGAAUUCGUUCAUAAUGACAACACGGUUGGACAGGGAGGCAGUGGAGAACAUGUUCUUAAGGGAGAGGAUUUGGAUUCAGGAGAGACUCCAUAACCUUGAGGAGGUUUUAAUGAAUGAACUUGAUCGAAGGUUCUCUAGAUUUCACAAGGAAUGGAGCAAGGACAAGAAAAGGAGGACAAAAUCUGAGCAGAGGAGUAAAGAAACUCAGACCGAGAAAGUAAUAAUCGGAGAUGAUAGUUGGGAGACUGAGAGAGCUUCUGUGAUAAACAAAGUGGACAGUGAACACAGGAUGAGAAAAGAGAGCCUUGAAGAGAGGCAGAGAGAGACUGAGGCCGAGAGGAGGAAAGUAGACUUUGAACAGAGCAUGAGAGAAGAUGGCCUUAUGGAAAGAGUUAGGGACAAUGUUAAAAUAGAGUGUCCAAAGGAAUAUGAUUCCCAAAAGCAGGACAUAAAAGUUAAACAGGUGGAUGAAAAUGUUUUAAUGCAAGACCUAGAGCAUCUGGAUAAUAACAUGGAUGGCGGAAUGAAGCCAGAGAGUGUAGGAGAAACAAAGGGAAAAGAUAGACAGACAGACGUUAUGAAAGAACUCCCAGAGGUUAAUCAUUCCACAACGUUGGACCCCACCAGUAACGAGGUUGACCUUAAAGUUUUACCACAAGAUCUUGAGCACCCCAAAAAUGACAUGGAUGGGGGCAAGGAUUUGUCAAUUCAAGUGGUACCGCUUCUGCGAAAUGGGAAUGUCAGAAUAAUAAACAGGAAAGGACAUUUUAAAAAGGAAGACAAACCAAAGAACACAAUAGACCAACGUCAAAAGGAACAAAAUGCCAAAGUGUAUGUUAACAACACAAGCACACUAUUGAAGGAAAAGACUGACAUGGAUUUGUCUACCCUACCACUACCAGUACUGAGAUGUAGUGAUGUGGGUAUAAUGAACUGGAGAUCAGAUGUUAAAACCAAACACAAGUCAAAGACAACCUGGCAAUAUCUGAAGGAAACAAAAGCAUAUGACAAGUUAAAGAAAAAAGUAGACACACAAGAAAAAUACAAGACUGAUCACCCUGACAACAAAGAUGGCAAAGAGGAGAUGCAGAGGACAAAUGUAGCAGUCCUUGGUGAUAUCAGUGAGGACUUUAUCAACUCAGGCUUUUUAAGCAAGCCGGAAACUGAGCACCAGCCUGACAGGCAGUGUAAGUCUGAAACAGUUCUUGACAAACUGAGGAAUGCAAUUAACCAACACAAAUCCAGACGAAAGCAGAAAAGGAUAGAAAACCAUCUGAAACUCCUUAAUGCGCCAAUGGAAAAGCAGCAAGAAAUAGACGCUUUCACAACGUUAAAGAUAUUUCAAGAUCCUAAAAUGAAGGUGACAAAACCAGCCAAAUGCAAAGAUUUUUCAAUAUUUCUGGCUGAAUCAACCGCGCUGUAGAGUCCCUGUUCAUGGAAGACGACUGAAAUCUGCCACGUAGUUCUGGAACUCAUGUUUUUUGUUGGUGAACAAGAUCAAAUAAACCUGGCUUGUUGUGAUUGAUGAAAGUGUACAGUCUUAUGUAUGUUAAUAACUAAUAAUUGACAAAAUGCUUAUUGUGGACUAGCUAUAAUUAGAGACCUGUAAUUAGAGCUAAAAUACAAAUAUUUGUUUAAACCCUUCAUACUUGUAUUCUGCAUAGCCCCAGAAGUAGCAUGAAAGAAUAUUUAUUCUGAAGACUUUAAAAUUAAUUUGAGGGAACUAAAUACUUGAAAAUGAAUCAAAGGUAUACAGCUUUUAGUCCAAGUGACGUCAAACUCAGACUGGUCUUUUCACCGGUCAUGGCUAGAACGGAUACAGGCUUUCGUUGUUUUAGUGAAAAAUACAAUAAUGUAAUGUGAUUUAGCAGUCAGAAG